GGACAACCUACCCUAAGGUGGGGGAUAACCCCGGGAAACUGGGGAUAAUACCCCAUAGACUAGAGAAGCUGGAAUGCUCUCAAGUUCAAAGGUCCGCCGCCUUAGGAUGGGUCUGCGGUCGAUUAGGUUGUUGUUGGGGUAACGGCCCAACAAGCCCGUGAUCGAUACGGGUUGUGAGAGCAAGAGCCCGGAGAUGGAUUCUGAGACACGAAUCCAGGCCCUACGGGGCGCAGCAGGCGCGAAAACUUUACAAUGCGGGAAACCGUGAUAAGGGAACCCCGAGUGCCCGUAAAUUCGGGCUGUCCAUCAGCGUAAAUAACUGGUGAAGAAAGGGCCGGGCAAGACCGGUGCCAGCCCGCCGCGGUAAUACCGGCGGCUCGAGUGGUGGCCACUAUUAUUGGGCUUAAAGCGUCCGUAGCUUGGUUGUUAAGUCUCUUGGGAAAAUCUACCGGCUCAACCGGUAGGCGUUCAGGAGAUACUGGCAAUAUAGGGGCCGGGAGAGGUGAGAGGUACUCCAGGGGUAGGAGUGAAAUCCUGUAAUCCUUGGGGGACCACCUGUGGCGAAGGCGUCUCACUAGAACGGCUCCGACAGUGAGGGACGAAAGCUGGGGGAGCAAACCGGAUUAGAUACCCGGGUAGUCCCAGCUGUAAACGAUGCGCGUUAGGUGUAUCGGUGACCACGAGUCACCGAGGUGCCGAAGGGAAACCGUGAAACGUGCCGCCUGGGAAGUACGGUCGCAAGGCUGAAACUUAA
rnacentral:rRNA from 1 species